GAGUCAUUAGCUCAGUUGGUAGAGCAUCUGACUUUUAAUCAGAGGGUCAGAGGUUCGAAUCCUCUAUGGCUCACCA
rnacentral:tRNA from 2 species